GUAGUCCACGCCGUAAACGAUGAGAACUAGCCGUUGGACCCCUUGAGGGUUUAGUGGCGUAGCUAACGCGAUAAGUUCUCCGCCUGGGGAGUACGGCCGCAAGGCUAAAACUCAAAUGAAUUGACGGGGGCCCGCACAAGCGGUGGAGCAUGUUGUUUAAUUCGAUGCAACGCGAAGAACCUUACCACCCCUUGACAUCCUCGGAACUUGGCAGAGAUGCCUUGGUGCCUUCGGGAACCGAGUGACAGGUGCUGCAUGGCUGUCGUCAGCUCGUGUCGUGAGAUGUUGGGUUAAGUCCCGUAACGAGCGCAACCCUUGUCCUUAUUUGCCAGCGGGUAAUGCCGGGAACUCUAAGGAGACUGCCGGUGACAAACCGGA
rnacentral:rRNA from 1 species